rnacentral:tRNA from 1 species
GCCGGCGUAGCUCAGCGGUAGAGCCACUGUUUUGUAAACAGUUGGUCCUCGGUUCGAAUCCGGGCGCCGGCUCCA